rnacentral:rRNA from 1 species
UAGGGAAUCUUCCGCAAUGGACGCAAGUCUGACGGAGCAACGCCGCGUGAGUGAAGAAGGAUUUCGGUUCGUAAAACUCUGUUGUUAGAGAAGAACAGCGCAUAGAGUAACUGUUAUGCGUGUGACGGUAUCUAACCAGAAAGCCACGGCUAACUACGUGCCAGCAGCCGCGGUAAUACGUAGGUGGCAAGCGUUGUCCGGAUUUAUUGGGCGUAAAGCGAGCGCAGGCGGUUAGAAAAGUCUGAAGUGAAAGGCAGUGGCUCAACCAUUGUAGGCUUUGGAAACUGUUUAACUUGAGUGCCGAAGGGGAGAGUUGAAUUCCCUGUGUAGCGGUGAAAUGCGUAGAUAUAUGGAGGAACACCGGUGGCGAAAGCGGCUCUCUGGUCUGUAACUGACGCUGAGGCUCGAAAGCGUGGGGAGCGAACAGG